UACGUAGGGUGCGAGCGUUACUCGGAAUUACUGGGCGUAAAGCGUGCGCAGGCGGUUGUGUAAGACAGAUGUGAAAUCCCCGGGCUUAACCUGGGAAUUGCAUUUGUGACUGCACGGCUAGAGUGUGUCAGAGGGGGGUAGAAUUCCACGUGUAGCAGUGAAAUGCGUAGAUAUGUGAGGAAUACCGAUGGCGAAGGCAGCCCCCUGGGAUAACACUGACGCUCAUGCACGAAAGCGUGGGGAGCAAACAGG
rnacentral:rRNA from 1 species